AGGUUUCCAGUCUACGCCCGAUUCAACCGGUAAAUUGAACGACGUAAUCUGAUGAUCGAUAUCAAAUGUUCACAAGCCGUCCGGCACUUGUGUUUUUUUAUAAAAAUAUUUUCUUGAUUUUCAAGAGAGAAUCGUAUGUGAUUUUUUCCUCGUUGGCAUAAAAUAUUUAUUACUGGCUGACGUUGAGGCUCUUUAAAGAUGGCUACUCCGAGUGUUCUAAGUACACAAGAAGUUCAGAAUUUUGGACAAUUUCCUACUAACAAUAGAUAGCAUUUUGCAAAAAUUGCAAUGUCAAAUCCACAAUCGCGAGUUACUGAUGUUUCUUAUAAUGGAGUUAUUGUCUCUGUAAAUCUUAUAAAAUCAGAAAUAUUAAAUCUCCAUUAUUUCAGGAGAUAUCGCAAUGUCCAAAUUCUUACGGUACAGAGUGUACACAUUUGCAGCCGUCCGUUCAAAUAAUAAGCAAUCAGAUUCAAAAGAAUUGUCACUUUCCCGUGGAAGAUCAGCUAGUCAACCGAAAACGACAAGGAAACACGUAAAAGAACAAAGUAGUCAAAUAGAUACAACUUGAUAAAGAAAAUUAAAGGUAGAAUUAUAUGUGCCGAUGUUAUAAAAUAUGGUAACAUAGUUCAAUAAACUAUAUACCAACGCCCAAGACAUCCGAACUCCGAACAAAUGAUUAUGCAACUGAUAAUACAACAUCAGAUAAUUUUCCGGUCAAUAAUUUUGCGACCACAAAUGAUCAGGCUAAUAAUUCAAUACAUUUUAAUAAUUAAACGACAGUUAAUUCUUCUGCUACAUCAGUUGACACUCCAACCACACCAAUUAAUCAGCCAACCAAUCCGCAAACAGUUAGUAAUUCGAUACCGCAGGAUUCUUUGGACGACAAUAUUGAUAAGCCUGUCAAUUCAUCAGUUCAUGGACCAGUACAUAAUAUGGUUCUUGACAAAAAUAGCGCUUACU